AGCGAACGCUGGCGGCAGGCCUAACACAUGCAAGUCGAACGAACCUUUCGGGGUUAGUGGCGGACGGGUGAGUAACACGUGGGAACGUGCCUUUAGGUUCGGAAUAACUCAGGGAAACUUGUGCUAAUACCGAAUGUGCCCUUCGGGGGAAAGAUUAAUCGCCUUUAGAGCGGCCCGCGUCUGGUUAGCUAGUUGGUUGAGGUAAUGGCUCACCAAGGCGACGAUCAGUAGCUGGUCUGAGAGGAUGAUCAGCCACAUUGGGACUGAGACACGGCCCAAACUCCUACGGGAGGCAGCAGUGGGGAAUCUUGCGCAAUGGGCGAAAGCCUGACGCAGCCAUGCCGCGUGAAUGAUGAAGGUCUUAGGAUUGUAAAAUUCUUUCACCGGGGACGAUAAUGACGGUACCCGGAGAAGAAGCCCCGGCUAACUUCGUG
rnacentral:rRNA from 1 species